rnacentral:sRNA from 1 species
GACCGCUUACGGUCGCGUACGAGGUGGAGGGGA